rnacentral:lncRNA from 1 species
UCUUAUAUCAAAUAGAUAAGACAUGUGUAUGGAGACUUAAAAUAAUCAUGUUAAGAAUGAAAUGUGCAUGAGAUGAAGCAAGAACUCCAUUUUUUGUUUUCUUGUCAGUAUACAUGUAUAACAGAUUAUGAUAUUUUUAAUCUUGGUUUCUAAGCAUGAGUGACAAACUUUCACAUUUAACAUAUGUGGUGUCAAAUUCCAACUAUACCUCAGACAGAUGCAUGACAUAUAAUUUUUUGCCUUUCUGGGGUUAAAAUUAUUUGUAUGUCAUAUAGAGUUUCUAACAGGAGAUUAUAUGGUGACCUUUGUCUUUAUAUUUGACAUCACCAAUUUUGACAAAGUACUAAACUUUUGUGCUAAUAUGCAGUUGUGUGCAACUGUGCAUCAUAUGUGCUAUGGGCAUGCCUGCUCAUCGGGCAGGUUCAGAGAAAUUACUGGUUCACCGCAAUCGUUUGUUGUUCUUUUUCACCCAUAGUUUCACUAUAUGUAUAAUGAAUCAACUAGACUUACCUGGAUGCUUAUGGAAGUUCGAAUGGAAGAUCCAGUCAAUCAACUUAUAAAGCUCUUUGUUUGGUUACAAAUAGGUGAUUCCAUUUGCAUCACACUCAUCUCCAGUGUCCUGCCUAAGUUAGUGACUAUGAGGAAUCCACUUUGCUACACUACUUGUGCUAUCUGUCUCCAGCUGCAACAUGCCUAUUACCCAGGGUACCUUCUUCUCAUGUGGUUCCCUACACGCACAUGAUUGUGCUUCUCACCUGGUCCGUACCCACAUCCAGGCCAUGUUAGCGACUGACUACAGUCUCUGCCAGCACCAUCUGAUAUGUCUCCUGCGACUCAUGUGGUGUUUCUUCAGAACUUAAACCAGGUGAGAAGCACACUACUUGUGCUAUCUGUCUCCAGCUGCAACAUGCCUAUUACCCAGGGUGCCUUCUUCUCAUGUGAUUCCCUACAUGCACAUGAUUGUGCUUCUCACCUUGUCCGUACCCACAUCCAGGCCAUGUUAGCGACUGACUGCAGUCUCCGCCAGCACCAUCUGAUAUGUCUCCUGCGACUCAUGUGGUGUUUCUUCAGAACUUAAACCGAAGGGCUGAAUCAGAUAAGGAAUUGUUGAUUCCUCAAACUGCAGGAAUAGGGUUGGUGACCAUGUUUCCCAACCAGAUGUGGUUUUGUGUACCUGUUCUCAUUGUCACAAGCCUGGGAACCAGUGAGAAGCAUAGUAACAACUGUAAUCUAGUGACAAAAUUAUAUUUUUACUAAUAUUUGGGCCUAUGCAGGGUUUCGGUACUGGAAUUGUGUGAAUAAAAGGAGCACGUGAGCCCCAAAGGCAUGUCAAGAGUGGUAUUAUUUUUUGUUAUUUUAUCUGCAAUCUGCAAUUCCUGGCAAGAAAAUUGGUUACAUUUCUUUUAGAUUAAUCCUCGGAGACUUCUUGUCUUCUUCAAACUAGAGACACUUGACAAUUUGGCACUAGAACUUGGGUCACUUGACAUCCGACAGGUUUGUACUAUGGCAAUCGUUGUUAUGAAUUAUCCAUUGAAAGUGGAUCUGAGCAUAUCUUGUUCAUAUUAUACAUUUUGUUUCUACCUGUUGAGUGGAAAAUGUAUUUUACAAAAGUAAUAAUCUGUUAACUUCUCUACAGUCUCA